UCACGUGAUUUCCAUGUUAACAACACAAGCCUCGAAUCGCGGCUUCAUCUGGCACGCCCCUUUUUUUUCUCGACACAAGCUCAGAAGCCUCGGUUCAAAUGUCACAUCACUAGUCAACCCUAAAUUCCUCUACUUUUGUGCUCGCGUGCACAGGACUUUUAUUUUGGUUUGGCGAUGUGACGUCACAACGCUACGCCGCACUCGGGCAUUUGUUGUUGUGCAUCGACUACAGAAAGAAAAGGUGAAGCGACUGAGCUCCACGUGACACUGUUAUAAAGAUGGCGUUUAUUAAAGAAGAGAGUGAAGAUGUGAAAAUUGAGGAAACAAUCAGAGUCAAACAUGAAGAUAGUGAUGAUGACGGAUUAGACCUGAUGGCAAUAAUAGAGGAGAUUCAAAAGCAGCAUAAGAAACAGGAACAAGAGCAGGAACAAGAGCAAUGUGCAAAGCAUAAUGAUUUCAGUACUGGAGAAAAAACUGAAGAGACUUCUCCACCAGCAAAAGCUAAGGAGAAACCAAUUAGACGUCGUCUCAUCUGUUCAGAGUGUGGAAACACUUUCAGUAAUCGAUCCGGCCUCAGAAUGCACAUGAUGAUUCACACUGGAGAGAAGCCUUUCACCUGCCAUCAAUGUGGAAAACGUUUCGUUCAACGAGGAAACUUUCAAACACACAUGAAAGUUCACACUAGAGAGAAGCCUUACAGCUGUAACCUGUGUGGAAAGAGCGUCUCAACAAAACAGAAACUUAACAAUCACAUGAACCUUCAUGUCAGUGAUAGGUGGAAAGAGUGCAAAAAGAAAUCUACUCGAAGAAAAAGUAAAAAAAAGUAAACGUACCAUUACAUGAUUGGCAUUUUACAAAUAAAAGUAAAAGUACCAGACAAAAAAUGUACUCAAGUAAAAGUUGCUUAUUUAAAAUUUACGCCAAGUAUACAUUAUUUUUGACAGGGUUCCUAUGGGGCUUGUAAAAGUACAGAAUUUGAUUGAAGUAUUUUCUAUGUCUGGAAAGUAUGAAAAAGAAAGCAGAGUAUGGAAAAAUAUUUGUAUUUACAGACUUUUGCCCAGAUUUCUUUUUUUUUAUAUCAAUGUAAAAUUCAGAAUUUAGUGAAAAUAAAUUCAUCAUACCAGAUAACACAUAGUAUGUAUAAGACAUUUUUUUUUUACUAGCUUAGGAAAGAAAAAGUAACUUGAAUCAUGUAGUAAAAUUUUUGAAUUGACUAGUAAAAAAAAAAAAAAGUGACAAUCCAAAUGUUCUGCUCAUUUGGACAUUAGGCCUUGAUAUUAGAAGUACUACUGUAAGAACUGAUCAUUUUGGAGCAGGUAGAUAUCUUAAUUCAUAUGCAUUCAUGCUCUCGUUUUAUUCAUAGUAGGAUGGCAGUGAUGCAAAAAGAUCUUAAUGCAUAAGCAUGCUAAACAUUUUUCAUAUGAAUGAUUAUGCAUGUUGUCACUUCGAGGAAAUCAAUGGGGAAAAAAUAUUUACAGAUGACUAUACCAAAUAUAAAGCUGAAAAUAAUGGCACUAUUAACCAUUUAUGUUAAAUAUGGUCUGAAAAUCAACAGAGAGGUUUGGAAAUUUGAUUCUGGAAAAGUAUGGAAUUUUGAAAUGGAAAUGUGUAGGAACCGUCUUUUACUAAGUUUUUAACAGAGGGAAGGAGGAACUUACAGGAACUUAGGAGGAAUUACAUGGGCUUAUAUCAGAAUCAGCUUUUAUUGCCAGGUAUGUUUACACACAGAAUGACAGUGAUAGACCAAAAAAGAAAAACAAAAAAACAUGUAAAUAAGGAAUAAAAAAAAAAGAAAAUUGUAUAUACAGAUAUUUAACAGUAGACAGUUGUAUGCACAAGUAUACAGUAUUAUGUGCAAAUUGAAAUGUCGACUAAGUGUUAAAUAAAUGUAUAAAUAGU